rnacentral:rRNA from 1 species
UACGAAGGGGGCUAGCGUUGCUCGGAAUCACUGGGCGUAAAGGGUGCGUAGGCGGGUCUUUAAGUCAGGGGUGAAAUCCUGGAGCUCAACUCCAGAACUGCCUUUGAUACUGAAGAUCUUGAGUUCGGGAGAGGUGAGUGGAACUCCGAGUGUAGAGGUGAAAUUCGUAGAUAUUCGGAAGAACACCAGUGGCGAAGGCGGCUCACUGGCCCGGUACUGACGCUGAGAUGCGAAAGCGUGGGGAGCAAACAGG